GUGUUCAUUUUGAAAGCACAUAUACUUAUAUUGGAAUGAUACAGAGAUUAGCAUGGUCCUGCCCAAGGAUGGCAUGCAAAUUCAUGAACUGUAUCAGUUUUCU